rnacentral:lncRNA from 1 species
CUUUACACCCUCUUGUCAUCUCUCCCCUUAUGAUUAUUUUUCUGCCUUCUCCAUCAAUACAAAACUAGGACACCUGUUUACCACUUUGAGGCUAUUUGACUGACCAGCGCAGAUACUAACAUCUAUCAGCUCAGACUAAAUCCAACAUGCCAAAAUGUUAACAUAAUUCCAUAGUACCUUUAAAUUGAAACUUCUUGGUACAAUGAUCACUAGGCUUUGCUGUUCUUAUUGUUCUAAGGACAGGGCUUAUACAAAGUCAGCUGAGAAAGUCACACAGCCUUAACUAUAAGAAGGUAAUACAAUUAUGUUAAUACACACUUUUGACUUCUCCAAAUACAUCACAGUAUUGCUCACGUAGGAAAGUUUUCUCAGAAAGAAAAAUGUGUUCAUGUCUUCAGUCCCAUGAAACUAAGCAAAUGAAGACCUUUGUUUGGAGUUGAUAAUAGUAGCAAGAGGUUACAAACAGCAGGGGGUGGGGAGAUAUCACUGAGUGCUUCUGAGACUGUGGACCUUAACCUAGA